rnacentral:misc_RNA from 1 species
UCUCCGUAGGUGAACCUGCGGAAGGAUCAUUAUUGUAUAACCAAGCUCCCUUAACUGUCGCUGACCCGAACGCUCAUCCGCUCCCGAGUCCCCUCACACACCUCCAUCUCACCCCUCUGUGCACCACCGCGUGGUUCCCCCUUUGGUGUGUUCGGAGGCGUGCUUACUUUUUCUUACAAACUUUGUAUGCAGUGUAGAAUGUAUUUUUUGUUUUUGCGAUCACGCAAACAAUACAACUUUCAACAACGGAUCUCUUGGCUCUCGCCUCGAUCAAGAACC